GGUGUCCGAACACAUCGAGUUCCUGCAACGACAGCAAAUUGCACCUUGGGCUUCGGGCUCCGCUUCCAGGUUCCUUCCUGCCGGAGCCCUUUGAACCCGGCUCACCUGAAAGCGCGUGCCUGCCGACAGGACGGCCGCACAUGCUUCCUCCACCUGCCAGGGGACACAAGCACACGGAUGCAGCGUAAGGAUGACCCCCGGCUCAUCGCAGUUCCAUGAAGCCAUUGGCCAGAGACAGAGCAGACGAGAAACAGAGCUAAGUAUCGUCGUCAUAACAGUGAAGGCUAAUAUUAAUUGUUGAGCAACGUCCCAGAAUGGCAGCACAUAAAGUGAGAACAGUAAGGGACCCAACACUAAGCCAUGGGGAACACCAUCAUUGACCUUACACGCUCUUUGACCCCACGCAUCACACAAAAUUCACUAAUACUACAGUACAGUAUAUUCAAGUGCAAUAAUAGGAAAUAAAGCAUAAUUACAAGGAAU
rnacentral:lncRNA from 1 species